rnacentral:lncRNA from 1 species
CAGUCGAACUCGCCGCUUGAAAGGUUAGUAGUUGCAUUUUCUUGUUUAUAUCAAUUAAAUUUUGAUUAAUAAGUUGGCACACCGAAUGUCGGAUAGUAUGUAGUUUUAAAAUACACAAUUGUUUUUGCUAGAAAGCGUGCAGUUAUUGCAAACACUUCGACACAGUUCCAAAUUUUCGACGGAUAACACACACACUCAAUAUUUUUUCAACGGAUAACCACACACUUUGAAUAUUUUUAAUCAAAAUUUCAUAAAAUUGUUUUCUUUAUGAUUUGUUUGGCAAAAUAAAUGCAUGUCUCAAUUCAACACCGCUACUAUUGAUUUAUACAAUAAAUUUUUUUACGAUAAACGCUUGGUUUAUUGUCGAAAAUCCAAUUUUCAAAAAUGAUACCACACAUACCGAAAAAAACAACGGAUAACACACACACACAUUAUUUAAGCUAAUCGCAAAGAACGUAAAAACAAACAAUCAUCAUGACAUGCAGUUCGUACUAAGUGGUUGUCUUCAUGAGUUUAUAGUCUAAACCAUUCAUUAUUUAAGUUUAUCUCGUAUAAAUAAUGAAAUUUUGGCUAGUAUUUGCGGCAACAUUUGUGCGA